CAUUAAUGCCCAAAUUAGCAUCGCCGCCGCCACUAGCCUCCUCGUAGCACCGUCGCCACCUCUUCCGACGAGCACCUCCGUGGAGUGGUGCUUCCCUUCGAACGCGCACCUCAUUAAUACCACCCCACGCUUCCCAGGAACCACAGUCCUUCGAUCCCCUAGCACAGCCAGCUAGGAGGCCCCCUCCUCAUGUGCGAGAUCACGACCGAUGCCUAACCGAGGACUUCUCCUCCGCGACCAAGUCUGCUGCGUCAUCACUCUCUGCACCAGCUGGAUCGGACCGCCAGCCACCACAGCGGAAUCGGAGUCGGCUGCCGCCUUCCUCGCCCACGGGAUCGGAAGCCAAUCGUCAAGGUCAGUCAAUUGCUUCAAGAAAUUCGAGGCUUCCAGCUCUUGAUGACUCAUGCAUUGUCUUGUGCACAUGGUGAGAAACUGAGGACUGAGCACCGAACACGAGGAUGUUUCUACUACCGGGGCUUGUCCUGCGUCAGCCAUCAUCAUGUAAAACAGGUUUAUGCCGUAGCAGCACAAGGAAUGGACGGAUUUUGACACGAGGAUCUAUGCAGAUUAUUAGGAAUCUAGGCUUGAGCUAUCGCUCUGUUCAUUGCAAGAUGAGAUGAUGGUGGCAUUUCUUGGUUGAAUGCACUCCUAAACAGUUUCUCUUUAUGAAUGUACACGAGUUCUUGUGAUAAACCAUAUUCAUGACAAACAUAAUGUACCCGUUUAUUUUUAUGAUUUGAGUCUGGAUUUGGCAUCCUAAUGAUCUUAGUUCUAUUUCGGUUGUUCUUAUAAUCUUAGGAGGAUCACAGGGGCCGGCGACGUGCUAGGCAAGCAAGAUCACAUGCCAAUAACGCACUGGCCUAGCAGGAGCACAGCAUCCAGCGACGCGCUGAGUGAUGAUGUAGGAGUGAUGGUUGGCCAACUGUGGCGUGUUGAUGAUCUAGGAGUGAUCUUUAAUGUGUGGUUAUGAAAUGCUUACUGGAUUGCUUUGUUCACUAGAGGUUUCUAUUCUUAACUGUUGCAGCUGCUUUUAGUGUGCGUUUCUGAAUUUUGAUGAGUAGUCUGUAAGAAGUACAAACACGGAUGUUAAUUGUUGCCUCA